UACGUAGGGUGCAAGCGUUAUCCGGAAUUAUUGGGCGUAAAGAGCUCGUAGGCGGUUUGUCGCGUCUGCUGUGAAAACUGGAGGCUCAACCUCCAGCCUGCAGUGGGUACGGGCAGACUAGAGUGCGGUAGGGGAGAUUGGAAUUCCUGGUGUAGCGGUGAAAUGCGCAGAUAUCAGGAGGAACACCCGUGGCUAAGGCGGCUCUCUAGUACGGUACUGACGCUGAGACGCGAAAACGUGGGGAGCGAACAGG
rnacentral:rRNA from 1 species